GCGCGUGUAGCUCAGCUGGUUAGAGCACAGAGCUUAUACCUCUGCGGUCCUUGGUUCGAAUCCAAGCACGCGCACAA
rnacentral:tRNA from 2 species